UCCAUUUCCUUUUCAGUCAUUCUGUAUCUCCUGGGUGCCCUGCUGGGAAACCCUGACACUCACCAGUGAGUUCCUGGUCUCCACCCUCUUGUCCCAGUUCCCAAAUCACCAUAGACUUUCUUCCCACCCCUUUGAUUUCUGAUAUAUAAGCCUCUAACAGGUUCUAUUUGUUCACUUCCCCCUGGGUUGAGCUGUUAUUUAAAUCUGGGAUCCAGAGUCAAAGGUACAGAGUCAGGAUACAGCGUCUCUUCCAGCCAGGCUCUUUGCCCUCUUUGCCCCCGAGGUUCUUGCAAUCUGUUGGCGAAGGGAACUGUGGGACAGGACUUCAGGACAAAAAUGAGAAGAUAAAGUUCUGGUGCCAUCUCCAGUAUGGAUGAAAAAACCUCAGAAUUUGAGAUGGAAUUGGAACGAAUGCUUACCAGGUCAGAAUCAGAGCCAACAUUCUCCAAUUUAAAAACCACCUGCAAGAACAAGAAGAAAAAGCAACAAUUAUUACCUGAGCAUCUAUACUGUGAGACUCUGGGGAAGAUCCUGCAUCAUGUGAAGACACCUGUGACCGUGGGUCUCUAUGGGCCAUGUAGACAUCGUUUGAGCUGUUUCAUGGAGAGGAUUAAAAGUAGGUAUAUCUUAUUUCUAAGUCCGAUUUUUCUUGUGCAGCAAAAUAACUGUAUGGACAUGUAUACAUAUAUUGUGUUUAAUAUAUACUUUAACAUAUUUAACAUGUAUUGAUCUACCUGCCAUCUAGGGGAAGGAAGGAAAAAAUUGGAACAAAAGGAUUUGCAAUUGUCAAUGGUGAAAAAUUACCCAUGAAUAUAUCUUGUAAAUAAAAAGCUAUAAUAAAAAAAAUUGUUUAAAGUCACCCAGCUGGUAAUAGUCAGAACUGGAGAACCAACCGGUUGUUCAGUUAUUUUCUUUAAUCUUUCUGUUCCCUCAUCUAUAAAACAGUAGCAACGGUACUUGGUACCUAAUGUUUAGAGAUAUUGUAAGAGUAAUGAUUAGGGUUAUUUAUAUCAAUGCUUGACAUAUACGUUCCCUUCCAAUUCUUUUAUUUUUAAAAGUCAAUUGAAUAAGAAUUCAACUUUUCUC